UUAAGCGACUAAGCGUACACGGUGGAUGCCCUGGCAGUCAGAGGCGAUGAAGGACGUGCUAAUCUGCGAUAAGCGUCGGUAAGGUGAUAUGAACCGUUAUAACCGGCGAUUUCCGAAUGGGGAAACCCAGUGUGAUUCGUCACACUAUCAUUAACUGAAUCCAUAGGUUAAUGAGGCGAACCGGGGGAACUGAAACAUCUAAGUACCCCGAGGAAAAGAAAUCAACCGAGAUUCCCCAGUAGCGGCGAGCGAACGGGGAGCAGCCCAGAGCCUGAAUCAGUGUGUGUGUUAGUGGAAGCGUCUGGAAAGGCGCGCGAUACAGGGUGACAGCCCCGUACACAAAAAUGCACAUGCUGUGAGCUCGAUGAGUAGGGCGGGACACGUGGUAUCCUGUCUGAAUAUGGGGGGACCAUCCUCCAAGGCUAAAUACUCCUGACUGACCGAUAGUGAACCAGUACCGUGAGGGAAAGGCGAAAAGAACCCCGGCGAGGGGAGUGAAAAAGAACCUGAAACCGUGUACGUACAAGCAGUGGGAGCACAGAGCAAUCUGUGUGACUGCGUACCUUUUGUAUAAUGGGUCAGCGACUUAUAUUCUGUAGCAAGGUUAACCGAAUAGGGGAGCCGAAGGGAAACCGAGUCUUAACUGGGCGUUAAGUUGCAGGGUAUAGACCCGAAACCCGGUGAUCUAGCCAUGGGCAGGUUGAAGGUUGGGUAACACUAACUGGAGGACCGAACCGACUAAUGUUGAAAAAUUAGCGGAUGACUUGUGGCUGGGGGUGAAAGGCCAAUCAAACCGGGAGAUAGCUGGUUCUCCCCGAAAGCUAUUUAGGUAGCGCCUCGUGAAUUCAUCUCCGGGGGUAGAGCACUGUUUCGGCAAGGGGGUCAUCCCGACUUACCAACCCGAUGCAAACUGCGAAUACCGGAGAAUGUUAUCACGGGAGACACACGGCGGGUGCUAACGUCCGUCGUGAAGAGGGAAACAACCCAGACCGCCAGCUAAGGUCCCAAAGUCAUGGUUAAGUGGGAAACGAUGUGGGAAGGCCCAGACAGCCAGGAUGUUGGCUUAGAAGCAGCCAUCAUUUAAAGAAAGCGUAAUAGCUCACUGGUCGAGUCGGCCUGCGCGGAAGAUGUAACGGGGCUAAACCAUGCACCGAAGCUGCGGCAGCGACGCUUAUGCGUUGUUGGGUAGGGGAGCGUUCUGUAAGCCUGCGAAGGUGUGCUGUGAGGCAUGCUGGAGGUAUCAGAAGUGCGAAUGCUGACAUAAGUAACGAUAAAGCGGGUGAAAAGCCCGCUCGCCGGAAGACCAAGGGUUCCUGUCCAACGUUAAUCGGGGCAGGGUGAGUCGACCCCUAAGGCGAGGCCGAAAGGCGUAGUCGAUGGGAAACAGGUUAAUAUUCCUGUACUUGGUGUUACUGCGAAGGGGGGACGGAGAAGGCUAUGUUGGCCGGGCGACGGUUGUCCCGGUUUAAGCGUGUAGGCUGGUUUUCCAGGCAAAUCCGGAAAAUCAAGGCUGAGGCGUGAUGACGAGGCACUACGGUGCUGAAGCAACAAAUGCCCUGCUUCCAGGAAAAGCCUCUAAGCAUCAGGUAACAUCAAAUCGUACCCCAAACCGACACAGGUGGUCAGGUAGAGAAUACCAAGGCGCUUGAGAGAACUCGGGUGAAGGAACUAGGCAAAAUGGUGCCGUAACUUCGGGAGAAGGCACGCUGAUAUGUAGGUGAAGUCCCUCGCGGAUGGAGCUGAAAUCAGUCGAAGAUACCAGCUGGCUGCAACUGUUUAUUAAAAACACAGCACUGUGCAAACACGAAAGUGGACGUAUACGGUGUGACGCCUGCCCGGUGCCGGAAGGUUAAUUGAUGGGGUCAGCGCAAGCGAAGCUCUUGAUCGAAGCCCCGGUAAACGGCGGCCGUAACUAUAACGGUCCUAAGGUAGCGAAAUUCCUUGUCGGGUAAGUUCCGACCUGCACGAAUGGCGUAAUGAUGGCCAGGCUGUCUCCACCCGAGACUCAGUGAAAUUGAACUCGCUGUGAAGAUGCAGUGUACCCGCGGCAAGACGGAAAGACCCCGUGAACCUUUACUAUAGCUUGACACUGAACAUUGAGCCUUGAUGUGUAGGAUAGGUGGGAGGCUUUGAAGUGUGGACGCCAGUCUGCAUGGAGCCGACCUUGAAAUACCACCCUUUAAUGUUUGAUGUUCUAACGUUGACCCGUAAUCCGGGUUGCGGACAGUGUCUGGUGGGUAGUUUGACUGGGGCGGUCUCCUCCUAAAGAGUAACGGAGGAGCACGAAGGUUGGCUAAUCCUGGUCGGACAUCAGGAGGUUAGUGCAAUGGCAUAAGCCAGCUUGACUGCGAGCGUGACGGCGCGAGCAGGUGCGAAAGCAGGUCAUAGUGAUCCGGUGGUUCUGAAUGGAAGGGCCAUCGCUCAACGGAUAAAAGGUACUCCGGGGAUAACAGGCUGAUACCGCCCAAGAGUUCAUAUCGACGGCGGUGUUUGGCACCUCGAUGUCGGCUCAUCACAUCCUGGGGCUGAAGUAGGUCCCAAGGGUAUGGCUGUUCGCCAUUUAAAGUGGUACGCGAGCUGGGUUUAGAACGUCGUGAGACAGUUCGGUCCCUAUCUGCCGUGGGCGCUGGAGAACUGAGGGGGGCUGCUCCUAGUACGAGAGGACCGGAGUGGACGCAUCACUGGUGUUCGGGUUGUCAUGCCAAUGGCACUGCCCGGUAGCUAAAUGCGGAAGAGAUAAGUGCUGAAAGCAUCUAAGCACGAAACUUGCCCCGAGAUGAGUUCUCCCUGACUCCUUGAGAGUCCUGAAGGAACGUUGAAGACGACGACGUUGAUAGGCCGGGUGUGUAAGCGCAGCGAUGCGUUGAGCUAACCGGUACUAAUGAACCGUGAGGCUUAACCUU
rnacentral:rRNA from 1 species